rnacentral:rRNA from 1 species
UGGCGGACGGGUGAGUAAUGUCUGGGAAACUGCCUGAUGGAGGGGGAUAACUACUGGAAACGGUAGCUAAUACCGCAUAACGUCGCAAGACCAAAGAGGGGGACCUUGGGCCUCUUGCCAUCGGAUGUGCCCAGAUGGGAUUAGCUAGUAGGUGGGGUAAAGGCUCACCUAGGCGACGAUCCCUAGCUGGUCUGAGAGGAUGACCAGCCACACUGGAACUGAGACACGGUCCAG